GCGCUCUGGUCGAGGAUAAACGACCCCUCUGACAGAGGUAAAGCCGUCCUGUGUUACCUCUUUGCCGAGGCACACGUUAAAGAUCGUUCCGCGUUGUGAGUCUAACACCAGUUGUAACACUUUUACAACCGGUAGCGCUGGAUCCCUUGGCACGUCAUUCGAUGAAGACCGUUGCAAAUUGCGAUAAAGUGAUGUGAUGCGCAAGUCCACCACUUAUACGUGAAUCAUCGAGUUGUUGAACGCACUGCACCGCGCCCUAAUCCGGCUGCGGUAUGCCCCUUUGAGCGUCAUUGUAUCCCUUCGGGAGUCUUUUCGUUAAGACCCGAGUUCGGAGUCCUCGGUCUUUGGAUCGUGUUCUCUUAAAUGCGUCGCGCCGAUCGCCUGAUGGGUCACUCUAAUGCCUGAGCGUGGAGUCCCUCGGAGCUGAGACGCGCUUGACCGAGUGUUGAGCUCGCGUC
rnacentral:rRNA from 1 species